AUUAAACGCUGGCGGCAUGCCUUACACAUGCAAGUCGAACGGCAGCACGGGGGCAACCCUGGUGGCGAGUGGCGGACGGGUGAGUAAAGCAUCGGAACGUAUCCUGGAGUGGGGGAUAACGUAGCGAAAGUUACGCUAAUACCGCAUAUUCUGUGAGCAGGAAAGCAGGGGAUCGCAAGACCUUGCGCUCUGGGAGCGGCCGAUGUCGGAUUAGCUAGUUGGUGGGGUAGAGGCCUACCAAGGCGACGAUCAGUAGCCGGCCUGAGAGGGUGAACGGCCACACUGGGACUGAGACACGGCCCAGACUCCUACGGGAGGCAGCAGUGGGGAAUAUUGCGCAAUGGGGGAAACCCUGACGCAGCGACGCCGCGUGAGCGAAGAAGGCCUUAGGGUCGUAAAGCUCUGUUUUAGGGACGAAUGUCGAGAGCAGUAAUAUGGUUCUCGAAUGAACGGUACCCUAAGAGGAAAGCCCCGGACUAACUACGUGCCCAAGCAGGCCGCGGUUAACG
rnacentral:rRNA from 1 species